rnacentral:rRNA from 2 species
UACGUAGGUGGCAAGCGUUAUCCGGAUUUACUGGGUGUAAAGGGUGAGUAGGCGGGUCUGCAAGUCAGGUGUGAAAUACUGCGGCUCAACCGCAGAAUUGCAUUUGAAACUACGGAUCUUGAGUGUCGGAGAGGUAAUUGGAAUUCCCAGUGUAGCGGUGAAAUGCGUAGAGAUUGGGAGGAACACCAGUGGCGAAGGCGGAUUACUGGACGACAACUGACGCUGAUACACGAAAGCGUGGGGAGCAAACAGG